rnacentral:rRNA from 1 species
CCCUUAGAGUUUGAUCCUGGCUCAGAUUGAACGCUGGCGGCGUGCCUAACACAUGCAAGUCGAGCGGUAACAGGUGUAGCAAUACAUGCUGACGAGCGGCGGACGGGUGAGUAACGCUUGGGAAUCUGCCUGUUAGUGGGGGACAACCCGGGGAAACUCGGGCUAAUACCGCAUACGCACUACGGUGGAAAGCCGGGGACCGCAAGGCCUGGCGCUAACAGAUGAGCCCAAGUCGGAUUAGCUAGUUGGUAGGGUAACGGCCUACCAAGGCGACGAUCCGUAACUGGUCUGAGAGGACGACCAGUCACACCGGAACUGAGACACGGUCCGGACUCCUACGGGAGGCAGCAGUGGGGAAUAUUGGACAAUGGGCGAAAGCCUGAUCCAGCGACGCCGCGUGGGUGAAGAAGGCCUGCGGGUUGUAAAGCCCUUUCGGUGGGGAAGAAAAGCCUCGAGUUAACACCUCGGGGUCUUGACGUAACCCAUAGAAGAAGCACCGGCUAACUCUGUGCCAGCAGCCGCGGUAAUACAGAGGGUGCGAGCGUUAAUCGGAAUUACUGGGCGUAAAGCGCGCGUAGGCGGCUUUGCAAGUCGGGUGUGAAAUCCCCAGGCUUAACCUGGGAACUGCAUUCGAGACUGCAUUGCUAGAGUAUGGGAGAGGGAAGUGGAAUUUCCGGUGUAGCGGUGAAAUGCGUAGAUAUCGGAAGGAACAUCAGUGGCGAAAGCGACUUCCUGGACCAAUACUGACGCUCAUGUGCGAAAGCGUGGGGAGCAAAC